GCACAAGCAGCGGAGCGUGUGGUUUAAUUCGUUGCUACACGAAGAACCUUACCUGGGUUUGACAUAUAGGUUGUAGGGAACUGAAAGGGACCGACCCUUCGGGAGCCUAUACAGGUGUUGCAUGGCUGUCGUCAGCUCGUGUCGUGAGAUGUUCGGUUAAGUCCGCUAACGAGCGCAACCCUCGUCGUAUGUUAUAUGUGUCAUACGAGACUGCCGGUAAAAGCCGGAGGAAGGUGAGGAUGAUGUCAAGUCAGCAUGACCUUUAUAUCCAGGGCUACACACACGCUACAAUGGUCUGUACAAUGGGUAGCCAAGCCGCGAGGCGGAGCCAAUCCUGAAAGCAGGCCUCAGUUCAGAUUGCAGUCUGCAACUCGACUGCAUGAAGCCGGAGUUGCUAGUAACCGCAGGUCAGCAAUACUGCGGUGAAUACGUUCCCGGGUCUU
rnacentral:rRNA from 1 species